UGCCCCCUCGUUCAAUGGUAGGACCGACGACUCUGAAUCGUUCAAUCGGGGUUCGAAUCCCUGGGGGGCAACCA
rnacentral:tRNA from 2 species